rnacentral:rRNA from 1 species
UACGGGGGGUCCUAGCGUUGUUCGGAAUCACUGGGCGUAAAGCGUUUGUAGGUGGCUUUGUAAGUUGAAUGUGAAAGCCCAGGGCCUAACCCUGGAAGUGCAUUCAAUACUGCAGAGCUUGAGUAUGGGAGAGGAAAAUGGAAUAGCUGGUGUAGUGGUGAAAUACGUAGAUAUCAGCUGGAACAUCGGUGGCGAAAGCGGUUUUCUGGCCUAAUACUGACACUGAAAAACGAAAGCGUGGGGAUCAAACAGG